GACGAACGCUGGCGGCGUGCUUAACACAUGCAAGUCGAACGGAAAGGCCCUGCUUUUGUGGGGUGCUCGAGUGGCGAACGGGUGAGUAACACGUGAGUAACCUGCCCUUGACUUUGGGAUAACUUCAGGAAACUGGGGCUAAUACCGGAUAGGAGCUCCUGCUGCAUGGUGGGGGUUGGAAAGUUUCGGCGGUUGGGGAUGGACUCGCGGCUUAUCAGCUUGUUGGUGGGGUAGUGGCUUACCAAGGCUUUGACGGGUAGCCGGCCUGAGAGGGUGACCGGCCACAUUGGGACUGAGAUACGGCCCAGACUCCUACGGGAGGCAGCAGUGGGGAAUAUUGCACAAUGGGCGGAAGCCUGAUGCAGCAACGCCGCGUGCGGGAUGACGGCCUUCGGGUUGUAAACCGCUUUCGCCUGUGACGAAGCGUGAGUGACGGUAAUGGGUAAAGAAGCACCGGCUAACUACGUGCCAGCAGCCGCGGUGAUACGUAGGGUGCGAGCGUUGUCCGGAUUUAUUGGGCGUAAAGGGCUCGUAGGUGGUUGAUCGCGUCGGAAGUGUAAUCUUGGGGCUUAACCCUGAGCGUGCUUUCGAUACGGGUUGACUUGAGGAAGGUAGGGGAGAAUGGAAUUCCUGGUGGAGCGGUGGAAUGCGCAGAUAUCAGGAGGAACACCAGUGGCGAAGGCGGUUCUCUGGGCCUUUCCUGACGCUGAGGAGCGAAAGCGUGGGGAGCGAACAGGCUUAGAUACCCUGGUAGUCCACGCUGUAAACGGUGGGUACUAGGUGUGGGGUCCAUUCCACGGGUUCCGUGCCGUAGCUAACGCUUUAAGUACCCCGCCUGGGGAGUACGGCCGCAAGGCUAAAACUCAAAGGAAUUGACGGGGCCCCGCACAAGCGGCGGAGCAUGCGGAUUAAUUCGAUGCAACGCGUAGAACCUUACCUGGGUUUGACAUGGAUCGGGAGUGCUCAGAGAUGGGUGUGCCUCUUUUGGGGUCGGUUCACAGGUGGUGCAUGGCUGUCGUCAGCUCGUGUCGUGAGAUGUUGGGUUAAGUCCCGCAACGAGCGCAACCCUUGUUCACUGUUGCCAGCACGUUAUGGUGGGGACUCAGUGGAGACCGCCGGGGUCAACUCGGAGGAAGGUGGGGAUGACGUCAAGUCAUCAUGCCCCUUAUGUCCAGGGCUUCACGCAUGCUACAAUGGCUGGUACAGAGAGUGGCGAGCCUGUGAGGGUGAGCGAAUCUCAGAGAGCCGGUCUCAGUUCGGAUUGGGGUCUGCAACUCGACCUCAUGAAGUCGGAGUCGCUAGUAAUCGCAGAUCAGCAACGCUGCGGUGAAUACGUUCCCGGGGCU
rnacentral:rRNA from 1 species